UACGUAGGGGGCAAGCGUUGUCCGGAAUCAUUGGGCGUAAAGAGCGCGUAGGCGGUCCGGUAAGUCCGCUGUGAAAGUCAAGGGCUCAACCCUUGAAUGCCGGUGGAUACUGCCGGGCUAGAGUCCGGAAGAGGCGAGUGGAAUUCCUGGUGUAGCGGUGAAAUGCGCAGAUAUCAGGAGGAACACCAAUGGCGAAGGCAGCACUCUGGGACGUGACUGACGCUGAGACGCGAAAGCGUGGGGAGCAAACAGG
rnacentral:rRNA from 1 species